AAUUUUGUAUAGUUUAGUGGCGGACGGGUGAGUAACACGUGAGCAACCUGCCUUCGAGGGGGGAAUAACGGCUGGAAACGGUCGCUAAUACCGCAUAACAUACGGGAGGGACAUCCCUUUUGUAUCAAAGAUUUAUCGCUCGAAGAUGGGCUCGCGUCCGAUUAGGUAGUUGGUAAGGUAACGGCCCACCAAGCCGACGAUCGGUAGCCGGACUGAGAGGUUGAACGGCCACAUUGGGACUGAGACACGGCCCAGACUCCUACGGAAGGCAGCAG
rnacentral:rRNA from 1 species